rnacentral:lncRNA from 1 species
UUUUUUUAUUUCCCCAAUACAUUAUUUUUUUCUACUGUACAGCAUGGUGACCCAGUUUCACACAUAUUUAUAUAUACAUUCUUUUUUCUCACAUUAUCAUGCUUCAUCAUAAGUGACUAGACAUAGUUCCCAGUGCUACACAGCAGGAUCUUAUUGCUAAUCCAUUGCAAAAGCAAUAGUCUGCAUCUAUUAACCCCAAGCACCCAAUCCAUCCCACUCCCUCCCCCUCCUCUUUGGCAACCACAAGUCUAUUCUCCAAGUCCAUGAUUUUCUUUUCUGUGGAAAGGUUCAUUUGUGCCUUAUAUUAGAUUCCAGAUAUAAGUGAUAUCAAAUGGUAUUUGUCUUUCUCUUUCUGACUUACUUCACUCAGGAUGAGAGUCUCUAGUUCCAUCUGUAUUGCUGCAAAUGGCAUGAUUUCAUUCUUUUUUAUGGCUGAGUAGUAUUCCAUUGUGUAUAUAUACCACAUCUUCUUAAUCCAUUCAUCUGUCGGUGCACAUUUAGGUUGCUUCCAUGUCUUGGCUGUUGUGAAUAGUGCUGCAAUGAACAUGCGGGUGCAUGUGUCUUUUUUAAGGAAAGUUUUGUCCGGAUAUAUGCCCAAGAGUGGAAUUGCUGGGUCAUAUGGUAGUUCUAUGUAUAGUUUUCUAAGGUACCUCCAUACUGUUCUCUAUAGUGGCUGUACAAGCUUACAUGCCCACCAACAGUGCAGGAGGGUUCCCUUUUUUUAAUUUUUAAAAUAAAUUUUGUUGGAGUAGAAUUGACAUACGAAGUUGUGUUAGUUUCAGACAUACAGCAUAUAAAUCAGUCAUAUGUAUACAUAUAGCCAUUUCUUUUAAAAUUCUUUUCCAAUAUAGGAUAUUAGACAGUAUUCAGUAGACUGCCCUGUGCUAUAGAGUAGGUCCUUGUUACCCAUCCAUCGUAUAUACAGUAGUGUGUAUAUGUCAACCUCAGCCCCCCAUCCUUGUCACUUUUAUGUGAGGAUGUCUGCGGACACUCUUUCUUCUGCUGCCUCUCUCUCUGUGUCAUGCCCCUUUCCCAUCUUCCUUGGUGCACAUUUACCUAGAUGCUCCUCCAUCCCCCCUUUGGCAAUUUUGAAAGUUGAAUGGCCAAUUUCUGGUCAUUUGAUCCUCCAUGAAAUGCAAUCUCCAUCUUGCUUGUAAUCUUCUAGAACACUAAGUCUAGCUCCAAUAAGUCAAAUUCAGCUUUUCUCCAACCGUAUUACAAGUGGUUAUUCACUUUCUCACCCUCCUUUCUCCUCCAAAGGCAAGAAAGUCAACUAUCAGAGAAUAAGAAAAGAUCACCUCCAUGCAAAUGAAAGUAAGCAUGUGGACCAGAUUAUUAAAAGACUGGCAUGAGAAUGCACAAGAAAAGCAGCAGGUAUCUCUGGAAGCUGAAGUUGGCACAGAUUCACCAGGAAAUGCAUGCCAGACUCACCUCUAUUAGAUAAGUGUAGCUGGCCUGGCAGUUUUGGACUGCAACAGAACAUAUGACUAAGACUCUCGUGACACUUUUAUGGACAAGCUAUAUUGGGUUAGAUAAGAACAUAAUUAGAUAUUGUCAUGCCUGGCUGGACAACGUUAAUAAAAACUUUAUAACUGAUGGGGUGUUUGGUAGCUCUGUUUUCACGAACUUCCAUAAAGCUGCCCAAGACAAGCAUAUCAAACUGGGGGUGACUGCAAGGAAUGCUGUCCAUAAAGUGAGGUUUUAAAGUGAUCUCUGUUUUAAAAACAACCAUCUGCAUCACCUAACAGCCAGUAAGAGGUCAGCAUCUCAGUGUGUAGCUUAUGGAGGGAAUACGGAGAACCUCUUCCAUGUUUACUUUACAUCCAAAUAAAAUGCAUGGUGCACCAGAAGUUUAAGGUCAAGUAUGAGUGUUUGGGCAAGCCAAUAACACUAACACUUCCAAUCAUGUAACCUAUUAUGGUGAGGAAUUCUGUGGAAUGCUCUUCCAGCUUGGAGCGGCCUCAGGAGUUUUCACUGCCUUUAUUAUUUUAUAACUCUGCUUGUCACACUGAGGCUCUGGUGUGAGGAGUGAGGGGUCAAUAAACUAAUUAUGUACCCUCUGAUAUUCAGCCAUUUACAGGAGAAUCUUGCAUGUGUUGAGAUUUUACAAACAAUAAGAGCUUUAAAAUAUCAGCUUUAUGAAAAGUUAGAGUGAGAGCUGGCACAGAGCUUCCUUAGCUUUAUCAUAAUAUUCACAAUGGGAAAUCUUACUACAUGGUAGCAGAAAUAGGCUGGUUUUAUUCGGUGGGUAUACAGUCGGCCUUCUGUAUCCAUGGGUCUGGCAAAUACCUGCACAUUGGAAAUAUUUGGGGAAAAAAAAUUCCAGAAAGUUCCAAAAAGCAAAACUGGAAUUUGCUGCAUUCUGGCAACUCUUUAUGAAACAUUCACUUUGUAUUAAGUAUUAUAAGUAAUCUAGAGAUGAUUCAACAUGUACAGGAGCAUGUGUAUGGAUUAUAUACAAAUACUAUGCCAUUUUAUAUAGGGUACUUGAGUACCUGAGGAUUUUAACAUCCUGGGGGCAGGGUACCUGGAACCAAUCUCCCACAGACACAGAGGGGUGAAAUGGUUGGUAUAGAGUAAUAGAUAAAAUCCAUUCCAAAAUUUAUCUCAGUAGAGUGGAUAACACAAUGGUAUCAUCAAAGUAAUUUUGAAUUAUUUACAGUCUAUUCUUAAGUAUAUAAAUGACAGCAAUAUAAUCACAAUAGUAUAGUCUUAACAAAUUAACAUGAUCAAUCAUGACAUAAAUAACUGUAAGGUUUUACAUUUGGGUUUCCUAAAAAUAGUCAUUAAAGUAAAGAUUGAGAAAGACACAGCUUGAAAUGAAACAUUAAUCUGGAGGGAAAAAAAAAAACUUGGUAUAUUUUAAACUAUUCUAUGAACCCAAAGAACUGUGAGCUUACUAAAAGAGCAUGUACAAACUUAGUGCACAUAAAAAGGUGGAGUGGCCGGUCUAAGGGAAGAAAUGUCCCCACUGGGGUCUGACAGAUCCAGUGCACCCUUGGGCAGUCCAUGCCCUGACCUCCAAAUGCCCAUCAAAAGACUUCCAGAGCUCUGAGGAUUUCUAGGAACAUCAUCCAGGGUCGUUUUUAGUGCUAUAGAUAUCCCACUGGUGGCCUUGACACAGACUUUCAGGGUGUGGUGAAGACAGAGCUGGAUGGAAAUGGAUUCAAGAGAGAUUGGGGGGGAGGAAAAAAGUGGGUGCAUAUAUACAACUCUUUUGAGAAUAUUGUGAUAGCUGGAGGGAAAUGUCAAGUUAAUAAAAGAAUAUAUAUAUUCAAUAUUUACUAUAUCACAGUAUGUUUGUAUUAUGAAAAGAAUGUCUCACAGAAAUGACCCAACGUUGACAGCCUCGUCACUACCACCUAGACCCACACUUUCCACCACAGUAGCCACCAGUUACAUGUGGCCACUGAGCCCUCGGAAUGUGUCUGCUCUGAAGAGAGACAUACUUCAAGUGAAAAACAUACGCCAAAACCUGAAGACAAAGUAUAAAAAAGGAUGUCAAAUAUCUCAUUAAUAAAUUGUAUACUGAUUAUAUGUUAAAAUAAUAUUUUGCAUAUAUUGAGGAACAAAGAAUACAUAUAACUGAAAUUAAAUCCUCUUUUUUUUUAAUGUGGUUACAAAAAGUUUUAGAUUAUCUGUGUGGUUUGCAUGAUAUUUCUGUUGACUGCACUGAUUUAGACCAGCACAGCAAAUCUCACUGUGACUUUUGCUGCAUUUAUAUUAGUCACCCAAGAAGAUCACCCCUUCUCUCCCAUCAGCCUUGAACACCCCCAGUCUGAUCCUAUCUCCUGGCCUCCACAAACCCUGAUCUCUGUCAUGGUGACUCAUGGAACACAUGGCCCAUUAUUAGUCAAUUUUCUGCAUCCCUCAACUGUUCUUCAAACUUUUCCUUCACCUUCUUGCCCUAAUUCAGUGGUUCUCAAACUCAUCUGUGCAUAAGAACCACCUUGAGAGCUUUAAAUAGAUUGACGCCCAAGUCCCAUUAUCAGAAUGUUUAAUCAGAUCCUCUGCUGUGGGGAUAAGCCUUCUGAAUUUUUUAAUAGCUCACCCAGAUGAGUCUGAGGAGCACUUGGGCUGGAGAAUCACUCAUUAAACCAGAUCCAAUGAUCCACCUCCUCUAACACUGCCUCCAUGUUUGCAAACAUGGCUGGGGAAAAACACACAGCGUGUCGGCUGGUCUCCUUAAACACUAAUCCAGAGGGGAAUUAAAGGUGCCCAGCCCUCCUACCACUUUCCCCUUGUCCGUUCACUAUCUUUAUCUCCCAGAGAAACAUCCUUCUCCUCCAUCCUCACUCUCAGCCCAUGACUUUGCUUCCCAUUCAAGGGGGAAGGUAGAAGAAAUUAGUGAAGACCUCCCACAAAGCUCCCUCCACCACAUCCACCCACCUGCCUGCCUGAGAGUAGACACGUCUACCUAUAUAUACAUACAUCUGCCUUCCCUUGUUCCUGCAGCUCAGGCUGUCCAAAGAGAACUUUCUCAUCAAAUGUUCUAUGUUGGUAACCAUCCAGUACUGUAGUUUACCAGCCUCCUGCAGCUAUUAAGCACUUGAUAUCUGGCUAGCACAACUGAGGAACUACAUUUAUAAUUUUCUUUACUGUUAAAUUAAAUUAAAUAGAAAUAGCCACAUACGGCUAAUGGCGACUGUACUGGGUAAAAGAGGUAGACAUGCUGGUCCAAUCUAAGACCAGUUCCUUUACUUGUCUUCCUUGUACCAUUCCUACUCAGCUACUCCAGCACACUGUUUCAGCAGUUAUCCCCUCUCUGCUGCUUCAUCAAGUUUCCUUCCUUUCUGGAUCAUUCCCCUCAGCAAAAUAAUAUGUUGUCACAUCUUUCAUUAAAAUAAAAAAGCAUGAAACCAACUAUAAUGGAAAAAAUAAAAAUCAUUUUUUAAAAAUGUAAAAAACGAAACAAAACAAAACCCCUCUCGGUGUUUCCCUUUAGCCAUCACUUCAUUUCUUUGUCCUCUUUACAGCAAAACUCCUCAAAAGACUAUUUUUAUAAUUGCUGACGCAAGUUCCUCUCCCUGACUCACUUUUGAAUCCCCACCAAUCACACUUCUGUCUCCCCCACUCCCUGAACCAGCUUUUGUCAAUGUCACCAGUGACCUCUCCAUCCCUGCUGGUCUGCACCCCUGGGAACUUUCCAAGUGAAAUCCUCCCGACAAGGAGGGCAAGGAGGACAAGGAUCUUACUUAUGAGGCCUUUCUUGGGUCCCACAAAAUGAGUAGGUUUCUGCAUCCGCCCACGAGAACCUUAAAAGUUUAUAUAGAGGCCAUAAUGGGGUUCUGUCACUUACAC